CUGAGAGGGUGAUCGGCCACACUGGAACUGAGACACGGUCCAGACUCCUACGGGAGGCAGCAGUAGGGAAUCUUCCGCAAUGGGCGAAAGCCUGACGGAGCAACGCCGCGUGAGUGAUGAAGGUCUUCGGAUCGUAAAACUCUGUUAUUAGGGAAGAACAUAUGUGUAAGUAACUGUGCACAUCUUGACGGUACCUAAUCAGAAAGCCACGGCUAACUACGUGCCAGCAGCCGCGGUAAUACGUAGGUGGCAAGCGUUAUCCGGAAUUAUUGGGCGUAAAGCGCGCGUAGGCGGUUUUUUAAGUCUGAUGUGAAAGCCCACGGCUCAACCGUGGAGGGUCAUUGGAAACUGGAAAACUUGAGUGCAGAAGAGGAAAGUGGAAUUCCAUGUGUAGCGGUGAAAUGCGCAGAGAUAUGGAGGAACACCAGUGGCGAAGGCGACUUUCUGGUCUGUAACUGACGCUGAUGUGCGAAAGCGUGGGGAUCAAACAGGAUUAGAUACCCUGGUAGUCCACGCCGUAAACGAUGAGUGCUAAGUGUUAGGGGGUUUCCGCCCCUUAGUGCUGCAGCUAACGCAUUAAGCACUCCGCCUGGGGAGUACGACCGCAAGGUUGAAACUCAAAGGAAUUGACGGGGACCCG
rnacentral:rRNA from 1 species